rnacentral:rRNA from 1 species
UACAGAGGUCUCAAGCGUUGUUCGGAUUCAUUGGGCGUAAAGGGUGCGUAGGUGGCGCCAUAAGUCGGGUGUGAAAUCUCGGGGCUUAACUCCGAAACUGCAUUCGAUACUGUGGUGCUUGAGGACUGGAGAGGAGAUUGGAAUUCAUGGUGUAGCAGUGAAAUGCGUAGAGAUCAUGAGGAAGACCAGUGGCGAAGGCGGGUCUCUGGACAGUUCCUGACACUGAGGCACGAAGGCCAGGGGAGCAAACGGG